GAGCGUUCAACAAUUGUCCACCAGAUGGCGCCGCUCCCAAACAAAACGCUGCUCACCAAAUUCGAAGAACUUCAAACCAAAUAUGGCGACGCCGGAUAAGAAACACCUGGCUGCAUGCGGGUCACGGAGCUUUGAAGCUACACGGAAUUCCUAAACAAGAAGAAGAAGCCUAGGAAUUCUGAGAUAGAGUAUGGACAUGCUCACACAAAAAGGAGGCACUGUGGGGUGCCAGUGAUGACAUCAUGAACAUCACACGCAAGCCGCGAUGCGAACAAACAAUCGUUCGCCGUUCUUCAGCCGACUCGCGUGAUUGCCGGCCACGAACUUCGACAUUUGGAGCACUUCCUGCUGUAAUGCUGCUUGCUCGUACCCCAGACCCUCCUUACAACAAGAUUUCAACCAUGAAUAAAGAAAUGCGAU